rnacentral:rRNA from 1 species
AAUUGCAGAAUUCAGUGAAUCAUCGAAUCUUUGAACGCACCUUGCGCCCUUUGGUAUUCCGAAGGGCAUGCCUGUUUGAGUGUCAUUA